rfam:Schistosoma margrebowiei strain Zambia genome assembly, scaffold: SMRZ_contig0004372
AUCCAGCUGACGAGUCCCAGAUAUGACGAAACGUGCAUCCUGAAU